UGGCAGUCAGUUGUUUUGAAACGUUCGUUUGUUGAUGUUGGCGGAGGAAGUGUACUCAGACAUCGCUAAGCAGGCCAUGCUCCGCUGUGUGGCCAGUUAGUUGGUCGUGGAAAAUUUCGCUCCGUACAAUGUGAAUUCUUGUGUAACAUUGUAGUUAUUUGUGAUUAUUUUUCUUUAUUGAGUGUAUGUGACUGGUUUUUCAAAAUUUUGGAUUCAUUUCAGGAUUUCUCUGUGUGAAACCUGCUGGUCAAUCAAAAUUCCAGAUAGUUAUGAAACAAAAUCUAUCUCUGACCAGUAAGUCUUCAGAAACGAAUCAGGUCGAUAACAUUUUCAUCGUUCAAAAACAAACUCGCAGAAGAAACAAUAGAUAACAACUGAUUACCAGAAAGGGAUUGAAGAGCUUCCAGAAGCUUGAAUAAAAAUCUAGAUCGAAAUAUCUAAAAGGGAAGAAGAUUCAUUGGAUGUUUCAAUUCGACCAGAAGCUCGCAUCCGAAAUUAAUGGUGAUCUGUAGACAUUCUUUCCUCCUUGUUUUCACUGAUCGCACGAAAACGGCUUCCUCAAAGUUUUCGUACAGAAAUAAAAUCCAGAACUUCCAUUUGAACUUGUUGAAAAUUCCAUCCAAUCAGAUAAAACUCCAGUGGAGGUAUACAGGCGCCACCAUAUCUUCGUCAAAGAAAAAGAACAAAGGCAUAAUUGGGAAGGCGACAGGGGUGGCGGUGACUUUGAAGGGGUGGUGGCGCGAUGUGGGGCUAUGCCCCCGUGCGGCCUCCCCAUCUGUAGGCUCGAAUACCACUCGACACCGCUGUUGUCACAGACGGGUAUCCCCGCGAUCCAUGGGACAGUCUUUCAGCAUGUGCAAAUUCAAUAACUGCAGACACAAAAAAGGCUUGCAAUUACGCAACAGUGGCGACGAGACUCGAAUGACAGUUGAUGGCGCCAAUUCAGGAUCGGAGUCAGCAAAUAGGCUCCCUAGGCAUAACCACAACAGUCAUGGACAUUUCUACGACCCGGAGUACGCUCAGAUGGAAUCAUGGAUGGACGAACAUCCGGACUUUGUUAACGAUUACUUUCU